rnacentral:tRNA from 1 species
UGCCCUGUGGCUUAGUUGGUUACGGCGUCCGACUGUUAUUACUGACCAAUCGGAAGAUCGAGAGUUCAAGUCUCUCCGGGGCAG